rnacentral:rRNA from 1 species
CCUACGGGCGGCAGCAGUGGGGAAUAUUGGACAAUGGGGGGAACCCUGAUCCAGCCAUGCCGCGUGUGUGAAGAAGGCCCUCGGGUUGUAAAGCACUUUCAGUGAGGAAGAACGCCUGGUGGUUAAUACCCAUCAGGAAAGACAUCACUCACAGAAGAAGCACCGGCUAACUCCGUGCCAGCAGCCGCGGUAAUACGGAGGGUGCGAGCGUUAAUCGGAAUUACUGGGCGUAAAGCGCGCGUAGGUGGCUUGAUAAGCCGGUUGUGAAAGCCCCGGGCUCAACCUGGGAACGGCAUCCGGAACUGUCAAGCUAGAGCGCAGGAGAGGAAGGUAGAAUUCCCGGUGUAGCGGUGAAAUGCGUAGAGAUCGGGAGGAAUACCAGUGGCGAAGGCGGCCUUCUGGACUGACACUGACACUGAGGUGCGAAAGCGUGGGUAGCAAACAGGAUUAGAUACCCCUGUAGUC